GAUGAACGCUGGCGGCGUGCCUAAUACAUGCAAGUCGAGCGAAAAGAUGAGGAGCUUGCUCCUCUGACGUUAGCGGCGGACGGGUGAGUAACACGUGGAUAACCUACCUAUAAGACUGGGAUAACUUCGGGAAACCGGAGAUAAUACCGGAUAAUAUAUUGAACCGCAUGGUUCAAUAGUGAAAGACGGUUUUGCUGUCACUUAUAGAUGGAUCCGCGCCGCAUUAGCUAGUUGGUAAGGUAACGGCUUACCAAGGCGACGAUGCGUAGCCGACCUGAGAGGGUGAUCGGCCACACUGGAACUGAGACACGGUCCAGACUCCUACGGGAGGCAGCAGUAGGGAAUCUUCCGCAAUGGGCGAAAGCCUGACGGAGCAACGCCGCGUGAGUGAUGAAGGUCUUCGGAUCGUAAAACUCUGUUAUUAGGGAAGAACAAAUGUGUAAGUAACUAUGCACGUCUUGACGGUACCUAAUCAGAAAGCCACGGCUAACUACGUG
rnacentral:rRNA from 1 species